GGUUAGUGCUUGGGUGACGCACCUCAGAAUCGGGCUCCCUUCAUUCUGGUUCCAGGGUGCAUCACCUGAGAACUGCC
rfam:Myotis lucifugus cont2.13329, whole genome shotgun sequence.